rnacentral:rRNA from 1 species
CACGUAGGGGCCAAGCGUUGUCCGGAUUUAUUGGGCGUAAAGAGCUCGUAGGCGGUUCAGCAAGUCGGGUGUGAAAACUCUGGGCUCAACCCAGAGACGCCACCCGAUACUGCUGUGACUAGAGUCCGGUAGGGGAGUGGGGAAUUCCUGGUGUAGCGGUGAAAUGCACAGAUAUCAGGAGGAACACCGGUGGCGAAGGCGCCACUCUGGGCCGGCACUGACGCUGAGGAGCGAAAGCGUGGGUAGCAAACAG